rnacentral:rRNA from 1 species
GAUGAACGCUAGCGGCAGGCUUAAUACAUGCAAGUCGAGGGGCAGCAUGACUGUAGCAAUACAGUUGAUGGCGACCGGCAAACGGGUGCGGAACACGUACAGAACCUUCCUUCGAGCGGGGAAUAGCCCAGAGAAAUUUGGAUUAAUACCCCAUAGUACAACGGAGUGGCAUCACUUUGUUGUUAAAGAUUUAUCACUUGAAGAUGGCUGUGCGGCUGAUUAGGUAGUUGGCGGGGUAACGGCCCACCAAGCCUGCGAUCAGUAACUGGUGUGAGAGCACGACCAGUCACACGGGCACUGAGACACGGGCCCGACUCCUACGGGAGGCAGCAGUAAGGAAUAUUGGUCAAUGGACGAAAGUCUGAACCAGCCAUGCCGCGUGGAGGAUGAAGGUCCUCUGGAUUGUAAACUUCUUUUAUACAGGAAGAAACACUGGUUCGUGAACCAGCUUGACGGUACUGUAAGAAUAAGGAUCGGCUAACUCCGUGCCAG